ACGGAACUUCGGGUUUAGUCGCGGACGGGUGAGUACGCGUGAGAAUCUGCCUCUAGGUCGGGGACAACAACUGGAAACGGUUGCUAAUACCCGAUGUGCAGCAAUGUGAAAGAUUUAUUGCCUAGAGAUGAGCUCGCGUCUGAUUAGCUAGUAGGUGUGGUAAUGGCGCACCUAGGCGACGAUCAGUAACUGGUCUGAGAGGAUAACCAGUCACACUGGGACUGAGACACGGCCCAGACUCCUACGGGAGGCAGCAGUGGGGAAUUUUCCGCAAUGGGCGAAAGCCUGACGGAGCAAUACCGCGUGAGGGACGAAGGCUUUUGGGUCGUAAACCUCUUUUCCCUGAGAAGAAGAUCUGACGGUAUCAGGAGAAUCAGCAUCGGCUAACUUCGUGCCAGCAGCCGCGGUAAUACGAGGGAUGCAAGCGUUAUCCGGAAUUAUUGGGCGUAAAGCGU
rnacentral:rRNA from 1 species